GAUCUAGCUUCAGGUCGGGGACAACCACUGGAAACGGUGGCUAAUACCGGAUGUGCCGAAAGGUGAAAGAUUUAUUGCCUGAAGAUGAGCUCGCGUCUGAUUAGCUAGUUGGUGUGGUAAGAGCGCACCAAGGCGACGAUCAGUAGCUGGUCUGAGAGGAUGAUCAGCCACACUGGGACUGAGACACGGCCCAGACUCCUACGGGAGGCAGCAGUGGGGAAUUUUCCGCAAUGGGCGAAAGCCUGACGGAGCAAUACCGCGUGAGGGAGGAAGGCUCUUGGGUUGUAAACCUCUUUUCUCAGGGAAUAAAAAAAUGAAGGUACCUGAGGAAUAAGCAUCGGCUAACUCCGUGCCAGCAGCCGCGGUAAUACGGAGGAUGCAAGCGUUAUCCGGAAUGAUUGGGCGUAAAGCGUCCGCAGGUGGCACUGUAAGUCUGCUGUUAAAGAGCAAGGCUCAACCUUGUAAAGGCAGUGGAAACUACAGAGCUAGAGUACGUUCGGGGCAGAGGGAAUUCCUGGUGUAGCGGUGAAAUGCGUAGAGAUCAGGAAGAACACCGGUGGCGAAAGCGCUCUGCUAGGCCGUAACUGACACUGAGGGACGAAAGCUA
rnacentral:rRNA from 1 species